rnacentral:rRNA from 1 species
CCUACGGGAGGCAGCAGUGAGGAAUAUUGGUCAAUGGACGAGAGUCUGAACCAGCCAAGUAGCGUGAAGGAUGACUGCCCUAUGGGUUGUAAACUUCUUUUAUAUGGGAAUAAAACGUUCCACGUGUGGGAUUUUGUAUGUACCAUAUGAAUAAGGAUCGGCUAACUCCGUGCCAGCAGCCGCGGUAAUACGGAGGAUCCGAGCGUUAUCCGGAUUUAUUGGGUUUAAAGGGAGCGUAGGUGGAUUGUUAAGUCAGUUGUGAAAGUUUGCGGCUCAACCGGAAAAUUGCAGUUGAAACGGGCAGUCUUGAGUACAGUAGAGGUGGGCGGAAUUCGUGGUGGAGCGGUGAAAUGCUGAGAUAUCACGAAGAACUCCGAUUGCGAAGGCAGUUCACUGGACUGCAACUGACACUGAGGCUCGAAAGUGUGGGUAUCAAACAGGAUUAGAUACCCCAGUAGUC